AACUGCUACCAUUAUGGUAUGGGGGCAAACAAAGCGCUUGAAAAUGGUGAAAUGAGUUUUUGAUUGUUCACUUAAUGUAAUAGUCAUCCGAACUUGAUUUUUUAUAUUUUGUUUCCUGAUCCAAAGAGAAGAAAAUCGUGGCUUUAUGCUUUAUAUAGAACUGAUUCAUCUUGCUAAAACAAACUUAGGUCGCAAAACAUGUCUAAGUAUGCUUAAAACAUUUUGUAUCUGAAUAUUAUGUACAAAAAAGUCAUUGCAAUAAAUCUCAAGUUAUUAAAGUCACUUAACAAAUAAGUACUGACAAUUCAUUGACUGGAGUGGAAGAUGUUAGUGUCUUGAACCAACAUGAAACAACAAGUUAACUGAGCUGAGAAUGAUGGUAGUUUAAAAAUAAUGCAGCAUUGGCUAGGAUUGUUCCUUGGUCACAAAAACAAUCUUACAAAAGUUUCUGCUGUUGUCACUGGUUUUAGAGAGUACCUUUGUAAAUGAAGAUAAAAAGUCAUUUAUGUUAUUUUUUAAAAGCCAAGACAUAAUAUUGUUUAUCCUCAUACCAUUUACUAAAAAGCUUUAUAAAUAU
rnacentral:lncRNA from 1 species